UGGGGAAUUUUGCACAAUGGGGGAAACCCUGAUGCAGCGACGCCGCGUGAUUUAGAAGGCCUUCGGGUUGUAAAAAUCUUUUCUAUGGGAAGAAAAUGACAGUACCAUAGGAAUAAGGACCGGCUAAUUACGUGCCAGCAGCCGCGGUAAUACGUAAGGUCCGAGCGUUGUCCGGAUUCAUUGGGCGUAAAGGGUACGUAGGCGGGUAAGCAAGUUAGAAGUGAAAUCCUGUAGCUCAACUACAGUAAGCUUUUAAAACUGCUCAUCUUGAGAUAUGGAAGGGAAAGUGGAAUUCCUAGUGUAGCGGUGAAAUGCGCAGAUAUUAGGAGGAAUACCGGUGGCGAAGGCGACUUUCUGGCCAUAACCUGACGCUGAGGUACGAAAGCGUGGGUAGCAAACAGG
rnacentral:rRNA from 1 species